GGAGAGAAGAAGAGGGGCGCAAGUGUGUGCACAUUGUGGAGGCGCGCUAGAUUAGGGUUUCAGGUUUGAAGGUGGUCCGGCGAAGCAGAUCGUGGCGGUGGAGGGGCGGGGCGCAGUAGGGCAGAUUGCGGCGGCGGGGAGGGGAGAAUCGGAUGUGAGAGAUGGAAGAAGGGGAAUUGAUUUUAGGUUUUGGGAAUUGGGGUAGAGAAAUGUUAGAUUUUGUGUUUUUUAAAAUAAAAUAAGUGAUGUGGAAUUAUAUUGUCACGUCAGCGAUAGAGAAUUGAGCUAGAGGCUCUAGAAUUGCAGGGAUUUUGAAUGGUGAAUUCUUAGAGAUGCCACGUAGGACCCC
rnacentral:lncRNA from 1 species